rnacentral:rRNA from 1 species
CCUACGGGGGGCAGCAGUGAGGAAUAUUGGUCAAUGGACGAGAGUCUGAACCAGCCAAGUAGCGUGAAGGAUGACUGCCCUAUGGGUUGUAAACUUCUUUUAUAUGGGAAUAAAAUGUUCCACGUGUGGGAUUUUGUAUGUACCAUAUGAAUAAGUAUCGGCUAACUCCGUGCCAGCAGCCGCGGUAAUACGGAGGAUCCGAGCGUUAUCCGGAUUUAUUGGGUUUAAAGGGAGCGUAGGUGGAUUGUCAAGUCAGUUGUGAAAGUUUGCGGCUCAACCGUAAAAUUGCAGUUGAAACUGGCAGUCUUGAGUACAGUAGAGGUGGGCGGAAUUCGUGGUGUAGCGGUGAAAUGCUUAGAUAUCACGAAGAACUCCGAUUGCGAAGGCAGUUCACUGGACUGCAACUGACACUGAGGCUCGAAAGUGUGGGUAUCAAACAGGAUUAGAUACCCUUGUAGUC